rnacentral:rRNA from 1 species
CUGACUCAGGGAGGUAGUGACAAAAAAUAACUUAGUCGGGCCGUUUUCGGUCUGACUUUAGGAAUGAGAACAAUUUAAAUCCCUUAUCGAGGAUCAAUUGGAGGGCAAGUCUGGUGCCAGCAGCCGCGGUAAUUCCAGCUCCAAUAGCGUAUAUUAAUGUUGUUGCAGUUAAAAAGCUCGUAGUUGGAUUUCUGGUCUAAGCGCCUGGCCGGCUCCGCAAGGGGUCGUGCAUGGGUACCUUGGUCCAUCCUCAGGGGAACUGUCACUGGUAUUCAUUUAUCGGUGUUGGGACGCCUGUCGUUUACUGUGAACAAAUUAGAGUGUUCAAAGCAAGGUGUACUUGAAUACAUUAGCAUGGAAUAAUAAGAUAGGACUUUGGUGGUUCUUUUUGAUAUUUUGUUGGUUUUGCACGCCAAAGUAAUGAUUAAUAGGAGCAGUUGGGGGUAUUCGUAUUCAAUUGUCAGAGGUGAAAUUCUUGGAUUUAUAGAAGACGAACUACUGCGAAAGCA